rnacentral:lncRNA from 1 species
CUUAAUGUUGCUGUAGAAGUUCACAUUUAUUUGGCACGUUUUUUCAGAGUACAUUUUUAGUUCAAGAAUUACCUAACCAGCCCCUCAAGUUUGUCAGCUCUAAAAGUGUGUAUACUUUUAUUUUUCUCCACAUAAUGUCUUUGUCAGUUAUAAACCCGGAAGAAAACUGAGGGCUUAUCUAGCUCAAGUGAAGUGGAAUGAAUUGAUUUCAACUGAAACCAUCCAGGAAGUGGCAGAACCAAGUAUAAAACUUAGGUCUCUAGAUUCCAUUCAAAUGCUAUUUUCAUGACUCCGUGGCAUUCAUUAACUUACUGACUUAUUCACUCACUGAAUAAAUAUCUUUUCUUAAAUUUAAUUUUAUUGACAUGUAGUUGAUUUACAAUGAUAAAUAUCUUUUGAGUGCUACUGUGUGCCAGAGUUUGUGCCAGGCAUGGUAAUACACUAUUAAUGAGAAAAUAGUCCUUGCUCUCCAGGAAAUUGGAAGGGGGGCGGGGGAAAGACGAAUAGGUAAUUCUUUGAUAAAAGUAUGCACAGAAUACUUUGGGCAUAUGUAAAAAGGUAUUAUAAGCAAUUCUCAGGUGGGCAAGAAAAACUUCCAAGAGGAGGAGAUCUGAAUUCUAAAGAACAAAUAGAAACUAGUCAGGCAAAGGAAUGAGUCAGGAUAGGGAAUGGGCAUUCCAGGCUGAAUAAGCAGCAUGUGCAGGUGCACUGAAGUCCAAGUGCUUGGCUUAUUUCCAUGAACCGGAAAAUGGUGCUAUGUGAUUUGAGCUUGGCAUACAAGGAAGGGAAUGAUAAGAGGUAAGACUGAAGAUAUAAAGCAGAGUCCAGAUUACGUGGGCCAGGCUAAGGAAUAUAAAGUACACCCGGAAAGAAAUGGUAUGAGCAGUGGAGGAUGGCAGGGAACAACUGAUCAAAUUGAAUUCUGCAAUGAUUACUCUGACUUUUGUGAAUAAACCAGACUGAAGAGAAAUUAAACGUAGACAAAGGAAGACGAAUCAAAAGGUCGUUGCAUUAAUCCAAGGGUAUCACUUUAUAGAUCGAUCUGGUUACUGUAACGGGAUGCUCCAUAUCGGGGGUUUGCACAAGAUAGAAGUUUUUUUCCUCACUUCGACAGGGAAUAAGCAGUCCAGACCUGGUAGAACAGUUCCACGAUGUGGAUGAUCAGGGGUUGUCCUCAUCUACAUGUUCCAAGACGGUUCACAACUACAACAUAUGCCUUGCAGCCUGAGAAAAAGUUUUGUUUUAGAGCCACAUCUGUGGCAUAUGGAUUUUCCCAGACUAGGGGUGAAUCAGAGCUAUAACCUAUACCACAGCCACAGCAAUGCCACAUCUGAGCCAUGUUUGUGACCUACACCACAGCUCCUGGCAAUGCUGGAUCCUUAACCCUCUGAGUGAGGCCAGGGAUCAAACCCUCAUCCUCAUGGAUGUUAGUCGUUACCAUGAGGUUGGUUACCACUGAGCCAAAAUGGGAACUCCAGGAUACGUUUCCUCUUAAGUUUAUGAUAUGGAAGUUUCACAUCACUUCAGCUCAGAGUCCAUUAGCCAGAAUUUAGACACAUGACCAUUGCUUAUGAAAGAAUAGCUAGGAAACGUAGUUUUUAUUCUUUGAGGCCACAUGCCCUGUCAAAAACAACAUCUAUUACCAUAAAUGAAAGGAGAGAAUAACUUUUCUGGAGGACAAUUAGCCGUUUCUCUCAUGCUAAAUAAGAAAAGGACCUGAUACCCAAAGCCCUCUACAGAGUCAACACAAUCCCCAUCAAAAUACCAAUGGCAUUCUUUACAAAAACAGAAAAAGCAAACAAACCUAAAGUACGUAUGCAGCCAUAAAAGACUCCUAAUAGCCAAAGCAAUCAUAGGGGGAAAAAAAGCUAGAAGUAUCAUACGUCCUGAUUUUAAACCAUACAGCAAAGCUACAGUAAUAAAAACAGUAUGGUACUGACACAAAAAUAGACAUAUAGACCAAUGGAACAUAAUAGCAUAGAAUUAAACUCCUGUUUAUAUGGUCAACUAAUACUCUCCAAGAAAGCCAAGAACACACAAUGAUAAAUACAUGCAGAGCAAUGCAAUUGGACCCAUGCCUCACACCACUCACAAAAAUUAACUUGAAAUGGAUCAAAGUCUUUUUUUGUUUGUUUGUUUGUUUACCUUUUCUAGGGCUGAUUCCGCAGCAUAUGGAGGUUCCCAGGCCAGGGGUUUAGUCAGAGCUGUAGCUGCCAGCCAAAAGACAAAAGCCAAAAGCCACAGCAACUCGGUAUCUGAGCACAUCUGCAACCUACACCACAGCUCACUGCAAUGCUGGAUCCUUAGCCCACUGAGAAAGACCAGGGAUUGAACCUGAGACCUUAUGGUUCCUAGUCAGAUUCAUUAACCCCUGAGCCACAAUGGGAACUCCUGGAUCAAAUUCCUAACGAUAAGAUGUGAUACUAUAAAACUCCUAGAAGAAAACGUAGAGAAGAAAUUCCUUAAUAUUGAUCUUAGAAAUGAUUCUCUUGGAUAUGACACCAAAAUCACAACCACCAAAAGCAAAAAUUAACAAAUUGGCUCUGCAAUAAACUUAAAAGCUUUUGCACAGCAAAAGAAACAGUUAACAAAAUGAAAAGGCAACCUACAGAAUGAGGGAAAUUUUUACAAACCAUAUACCUGUUAGGAAGUUAAUAUCCAAAAUAUAUAAAGAACUCAUACAAUUCAAUACCAAAAAGACAAACAAUUCAAUUAAAAAAUGGACAGAAGAUCAAAAUAGACAUUUUCCCAAAGAAGUUGUCCAAAUGGCCAUCAGAUACAUGAAGAGGUGCUCAACAUCACUAAUUAUUAGGGAAAUGCAAAAUUAAAACCUGUUAGAUUUUUAUCUCACAUACAUUUGAAUGGUUAUCAUCGAGAAUAAGAAAUGGGAGUUCCUCUUGUGGCUCAGUGGGUUAAGAACCCGACUAGUAUCCCUGAGGAUCCAGGUUGGAUCCCUGGCCUCCCUCAGUGCCUUAAACGAUCUGGCAUUGUUGCAAGCUGUGGUGUAGGUUGUAGAUGUGGCUGGGAUCAGGCAUUGCUGUGGCUAUGACAUAGGCCAGCAGCCACAGCUUCGAUUUGACCCCUAGCCUGGGAACCUCCAUAUGUUGCAGGUGCAGCCCUAAAAAAAAAAGAAAAAAAAAUAAGGCAAGAGGUAACAAGUGCUGGCAGGGAUGUGGAGAAAAGGGAAAUUUGUGCAGCGUUGGUGGGAAUAUAAAGUGGUGCAGCCACUAUGGGAAAGAUUGUGGCAGUUCCUCAAAAAGCUAAAAAUAGAACUACUAGGAGUUCCUUUCCUGGCUCAGUGUAGACAAACCUGACUAGGUUUCAUGAGGAUGCAGGUUCGAUCCCUGGCCUCGAUCAGUGGGUUAAGGAUCCAGUGUUGCCAUGAGCUGUGGUGGAGGUCAUAGAGGUGCUUGGAUAUCCAUGUUGCUGUGGCUAUGGUGUAGGCUGGCAGCUACAGUUCCCAUUCGACCCCUAGCCUGGGAACUUCCAUAUGUCACAGGUUGGGCCCUAAAAAGCAAAAAAAUAAAAGUAAAUAGAUUAAAUAAAAAAAUUAUACGUGGAAUUUUAAAAAUUCAAACUUAGCUGUACACCUGAAACUAACACGACAUUGUUAAGUCAUCUAUAGGUCAAUAAAAUUUAUUUUAAAAGACUCAAUAUUUCAAAUAAAAUUAUAAAAACAUAGGGUAUUUGGUAUUCUGCAACCCAAAUAUGAGUCAGCAUCAUGUGGCUUCUCAGAGAAGAAGCUAUUUUCUUGUUUCCUUAUAACAAAUAGUUCCCUGCUCCUAACAUAUUUUUUCUCAUUACUUUAAAGAUGAAUUAUUUAGGAAAUAGGUUAGAAAUCAGUACAAAUAUCUUGGAGCUAUUUUGUAGACAUAUGAAAUUAUUCUAAAGAUUAUAGAAAGUUACAGCAAAAGGAAUUCUUUGAGAUUCUCCAGAGCAGUCUUGCUGCACAUUAAAAUCAUCUAGGGAAUUUUUUAAAUAGUAAUAGCGGGGUCCCACCCCCAGAGAUUCUGAUCUUAUCAUUCCAAAAUGUUACCUGAGCACCAGGAUUUUUUUCAGACCUCUCAGAUGUUUACCACUUUAUUUAAUUUUGUAACUUUUUUCUCAAAAUUUUAUUUAAAAAAAUUUUUAAUUGCAUGGAUAAUAAAAUGAGCUGCAUAUCCUUUACCUAGAUUCACUCAUAGUUGACAUUUGGCCAUAUUGGCUUUGAAUAAUUCACUUUUAAGAUUCAUUAUAGUAACUUUUAUACAUUUUAAUACAUUUAUAACAAUAAAAAUGAGUCACUGCAAAAAAAGAAAGAAAAGCCAAACUCGUAAAAACAGAAUAAAAUGGUGGCUACCAGCAGUUGGGCAGUAGGGGGUCAAGAUAGACAUUGUUUAAGAGUAUUUACUUAUACUCAGUAGCACAUAAGUCCUAGAGUUAUAAUGCAUGGUACAAUGAAUAUAGAUAGAAAUAUUAUAAUCAUCGGAGUUCCCGUCGUGGAGCAGUGGUUAACGAAUCUGACUGGGAACCAUGAGGUUGCGGGUUCCAUCCCUGGUUUUGCUCAUGGGUUAAGGAUCUGGCCCUUGCUGUGGGCUGUGGUGGAGGUUGCAGACGCAGCUCAGAUCCUGCGUUGCUAUGGCUCUGGCGUAGGCUGGCGGCUACAGCUCUGAUUAGACCCCUUAGCCUGGGAAGCUCCAUAUGCCACAGAUGUGGCCCUAGAAAAAGGCAAAAAGACAACAACAACAAAAAAAGAAAAGAAAUACUAUAUUAUAUUGCUAAGAUACUAGAACUUAAUUAUUCCAACUACUGAAAAAGAAAGAGCAAUUAUGUAAUGUGAUAGAGGUGUUAAUUAUCUACAAUGGCAGUCAAAUUAUAAUAUGUAAAUAUAGCAAAUUUACUUGUUGUACACCUUAAAUUCGCACAACAUGAUAUGUCAAAUAUGUUUCAAUUUAAAAAGAAAAAGAGGAGAGUUCCCAUCAUGGCUCAGUGGUAACAACCUGGACUCGUAUAUAUGAAGAUGCCGGCUCCAUCCCUGACCUCGAUCAGUGGGUUAAGGAUCCAGAUUGCAGAUGUGCCUCAGACCCUGCGUUGCUGUGCCUGUG